rnacentral:rRNA from 1 species
UGGAAACUGGGGGACUUGAGUGCAGAAGAGGAAAGUGGAAUUCCACGUGUAGCGGUGAAAUGCGUAGAGAUGUGGAGGAACACCAGUGGCGAAGGCGACUUUCUGGUCUGUAACUGACGCUGAGGCGCGAAAGCGUGGGGAGCAAACAGGAUUAGAUACCCUGGUAGUCCACGCCGUAAACGAUGAGUGCUAAGUGUUAGAGG